AAACUGAAGAGUUUGAUCCUGGCUCAGAUUGAACGCUGGCGGCAUGCCUAACACAUGCAAGUCGAACGGCAGCAUGACGUGUAGCAAUACACGUUGAUGGCGAGUGGCGGACGGGUGAGUAAUACUUAGGAAUCUACCCAGUAGCGGGGGAUAGCUCGGCGAAAGCCGGAUUAAUACCGCAUACGCCCUACGGGGGAAAGCGGGGGACCUUCGGGCCUCGCACUAUUGGAUGAGCCUAAGUCUGAUUAGCUAGUUGGUAGGGUAAUGGCCUACCAAGGCAACGAUCAGUAGCUGGUCUGAGAGGAUGAUCAGCCACACUGGGACUGAGACACGGCCCAGACUCCUACGGGAGGCAGCAGUGGGGAAUAUUGGACA
rnacentral:ncRNA from 1 species